rnacentral:rRNA from 1 species
CCUGGUGCCUAUGGCGCGGUGGAACCACCCUGACCCAUCUCGAACUCAGGUGUGAAACGUCGCUGCGGCAAAGAUAGUUGGGGGGUAGCUCCCUGCAAAAAUAGCUCGGUGCCAGGU